UUCCCAUGGACGCUGUCACUGCAGCCAGGACGAACCAAGCAAAUAGAGGGAGCCAUACUUGUUUCUGGCAACGUUCCUCCCCUCAUAUCAAUACGCCAUUCUUAUUGAGGGUAUGCCUGUAAACUUAAUAUGCAUGACUUCGAUGCAGACAUUUUUUAUGAAGUCAAAUUGUGGGCGUUGCUAGGAGGAAUGUCUUUAUGAAAUCUGCUGCUGCAUUGGUCAUAGAAAUAUCAAAGGGAACAACCACGUAUCAUUAUUAUAUGACAAUUCUGCACAUAAAGCGGUAACAGCAUUUUCUUUGUAUCAUGUGUUGUCAUGGUGGUGGAAUGCACUUUUGCCGGUAUACGUCAUCAUGCUGACAGAAGUGUCUGUGUAUGGCGACGAAACCGGAAGUUGGUUCUCCGAGGACGCUGCAUGUGUGGUGUUUUAGAGUGUAUAAAGAAUUCCAUUUUUCUGGAGAUACAAGUAUCCUUGUCUACAGUUCUGAUAACACCAUCUGUCAGUCAACAAAAAGUGUGCAAGUGGUAAUGGAUUAAAGCCUCGAAAGAAACCCAGAUACGCUUUUAAACAUUGACAUCCACUGUGAGUAGCAUAUGCGCUGCGCCCCCCCCCCCAAUAUGCAAACAUUUUCUGCUGACUAAA